rnacentral:rRNA from 1 species
AGUAAUAAGAAAUGAUAUGAAAUGAAUCAUUUAGUAUGUAAGAGAUUAUUGAGGAUAAUAUAAGUUAUAUUAAAGAAAGAUGGAAAAUGAAAAAAUUAAAAGAAUCCAUAGGUGAAAACCAAUAAGAAAAACUAAAUGAACUGAAACAUCUAAGUAAUUUAAGGAAAAGAAAUGAACAAAGAUCUAUUAAGUAGUGGUGAACGAAAGAUAAAGAGUCAAAAAAGUAAUAUGUAAUAGAGAUAAUAUGUAUGAAAAAGGUGAAACUAUCACUAAGACUAAAUACUUUAAUAUAAACAAUAGAAGUACCGUGAGGGAAAAGAAGGAAUCAGUAAUCUUAAGAGCAUAAUAAAGAGUCAAACUCUAAAUUAGUACCUCUUGUAUAAUGGGUUAGCAAGUAUAUAUUAUUAGCAAGAAUGAAAAUUCAUAGUGAAAUCGAGAUAUCUAACAAUAAAUCAAAGUUAAUAAUAUAUGACCCGAAAGCCCAUGAUCUUAUCAUGAUUAAGUGUAUAUAAAAACGACUGAACUGGUUGGUGUUGCAAUACCAUCAGAAAAAUUGUGAUAAGGAGUGAAAUAUAAAUCAAAUGGGCAGUUAGCUGGUUUACCACGAAAUAUAUGUAAGUAUAGCCAUAUUAAAUAAAUAUUUAAAAAGUAAAGCACUUAACAUCGCACCAUUAAAUAAUAAUAAUGGAUUAUAUGGGGAAAUGUAAAAUUUUUAUCAUCGAUGUUUAAUCUCAGAAAUAAUAAUAUUAAAAUAAAUAUGAGUCAGACUAUCCGUGAUAAGAUGUAUAGUCAACAGGGAAACAGCCCAACACAAGUAAGAAGGUCCCAAAUAAAAUAAUAAGUGAACAUAAGAGAUUUAUAAUAUAAUACAAUUAGUUAGUUGGUUUGAUAGUAACUAUCUUUUAAUAAAAGUGUAAUAACUUACUAAUAUAUUAAAUAAUAAAUAUUAUAACAUAUCAUAAAUUUAACGGGUCUAAAUUAUAAAACCAAUAACUUGUAUUAAUUAUGAUUAAUUAAAUAAUUAUAAUUAAUGAUAGUGGUACAUUUAAUGAAAAUUAAAAAUAUAAAAAUGAAUAUAAUAAAAUUAAAAAGUAAUUAAAGAGAGAAUGCUAACAUGAGUAACGAAAAUAAGGUAAAAUCCUUAUCAUCUAAAACAUAAGGUUUAACAAUAAAAUCGGAACUUAAGUUACAAAAUAUGAAUAAAAAGAUAGUAAUAAUAGUAAUAAUAUUAAUAUUUAAUAUUUAAUAUAUUAAAUAUAAAUGAUGAAAUAGAAUCAUCGAUACCUCCUUUGUGAAUGGUAGACGAUGAUAAUAAUGUAUUUCAUACAGGAAAUAAUAUAAAACCGUAAUGUAAACCGACACAGGUAUGUAAGUAGGGAAUAUGAAGAUGAAUGAGAAAAUUAUGGUUAAUGAACUAGGCAAAAAUAAUUCUAAAUGUUAGUCAAAACAGAAUAAGAUAUACUAAAUUAAUAAUUAAUUUUAUUAUUUUAGUAGUUAAAUAUAAUUUAAAAUUAUAUUUUAAUCUUCUAAGAAACAAGAUAGCACAACUGUUUACUAAAAACACAGCACUAUGCAAAAAUAAGAAUAAUAGUAUAUAGUGUGAACUCUGCUCCAUUCUAGUAAAUAAUAUUUAGUGUGAUUAUGUACUAAAUCUAAUAACUAGAAAAUAGCGGUCUUAACGUGAGGAUCAUAAUGUAGCGAAAUUCCUUGUCCGCUAAAUACGGUCCUGCAUGAAUGACGUAAUGAUGCUAUAACUGUAUCAACCAUAAACUCAGUGAAAUUGGAUUCGCGGUGAAGAUACCGUGUACCUAUAGAUUGACAGAAAGACCCUAUGCAACUUUACUAUGUAUAGAUAGAUUGAGAUAUUAUAAAUACUAUUCAGAACUAUUAGGUAUUUGAUUAAAAGAAAUUUGUGUGAUAAAAAACCAAGUAUGAGAAACCUAUUAUGUAUUUAUGAUAUGUCUAAACUGAGAAAAAGAUAAAAUAAUAUUUUAUCUAUUAUUAUGAAAAUAUUCUAAUAAAAAUAAGUGACAUUCUCUAUAUGAUAGUUUGUGUGGGGCGCACAUUUCAGCAAAAGUAUCUGAAUAUGUCCAGAUAAUAUAAAAGAUAAAAAAUCUUAAAAUAAUAAUAAAAAGAAGACAUAGUCUUUAUAAUAAUUAAAUAUAUUUAAAGAUACGAAAGUAAAUUUAAAUUAAAUAAUAGAAAAGAUUAAAUGUGAUAUAAAUUGAUCUAGAAAUCAAUAAGAUGAAAACAUCUUAUAUUAAGUGUAAUAGCAUAAUCACAUUAUAAUUGUAACAUCUACAAAUGAAACAAGUACGUAAGUAUGGUAUAGUGAACAAUUGCUACUAAUUAGUAUAGUACAAUGAUAACGGAUAAAAGUUACGCUAGGGAUAACAGGCUAAUAUGGUGAAAGAGUACAAAUUGUAAACCAUGUUUGGCACCUCGAUGUCGACUCAACCCAUCCUACUGGUGUAGUAGCUAGUAAGGGUUAGACUGUUCGUCUAUUAAAGGGUUACGUGAGUUGGGUUAAAUACGUUGUAAAACAGUAUGGUUCUUAUCAUCUAUAGGUGUGUAUCAAAUGAAAACUUAUAUUUAGUACGAAAGGAUUAAUAUAAAUCAAUCAAUGGUGUAUCUAUUGAUUAUUAAAACCAAUUUAUUUGGUUAAUUUUUCAUUAUAAUUUAAUAAUCACAGUAGAGUAGCUAAAUUGAUAAAUGAUAAAAACUGAUAGCUUAUCAAGUUUGAAUCGGUUUUCUAAAUAGAUACUAUUAAUAAGUUAUAGAUAAUAACUUCUCAGGUUUAAUCCUGUAUUUUAGAUAAUCUUAUCGAAACAGAUUUUUCUGUUAAUUGUAUAA